rnacentral:rRNA from 1 species
AAUGAACGCUGGCGGCGUGCUUAACACAUGCAAGUUGGACGAGAAAGGCUGAUUUCGGUUGGCCGAGUAAAGUAGCGCACGGGUGAGUAACGCGUAGGCAACCUACCCUUGUAUUGGGGAUAACCCCGCGAAAGCGGGGCUAAUACCGGAUACGAUCCCGGGAUGGUGGUUUCGGGAUGAAAGUCAGCCACUCGGAGAAGCUGACGUACGAGGAUGGGCCUGCGUCCUAUCAGCUAGUUGGGGGGGUAGCGGCCCACCAAGGCGACGACGGGUAGCGGGGCUGAGAGGAUGAUCAGCCACACUGGCACUGGAACACGGGCCAGACUCCUACGGGAGGCAGCAGUGAGGAAUUUUGCGCAAUGGCCGCAAGGCUGACGCAGCAACGCCGCGUGGGUGAUGAAGGCCUUCGGGUCGUAAAGCCCUGUCAGGUGGGAAGGAAGGCUUGAUUGGGAAUACCGGUUGAGUUUGACGGUACCACCAGAGGAAGCACCGGCUAACUCCGUGCCAGCCGCCGCCGUAAGAC